UACGGAGGGUGCAAGCGUUAAUCGGAAUAAUUGGGCGUAAAGAGUGCGUAGGUGGUUUACUAGGUGAGUUGUGAAAGAUUUGGGCUUAACCUGAGGAUGUCAACUCAAACGGGUAAACUAGAGUACAGUAGAGGGUCGUGGAAUUUCCGGUGUAGCGGUGAAAUGCGUAGAGAUCGGAAGGAACACCAGUGGCGAAGGCGACGACCUGGGCUGAAACUGACACUGAGGCACGAAAGCGUGGGGAGCAAACAGG
rnacentral:rRNA from 1 species